GCCCCGGUAAACGGCGGCCGUAACUAUAACGGUCCUAAGGUAGCGAAAUUCCUUGUCGGGUAAGUUCCGACCUGCACGAAUGGCGUAAUGAUGGCCAGGCUGUCUCCACCCGAGACUCAGUGAAAUUGAACUCGCUGUGAAGAUGCAGUGUACCCGCGGCAAGACGGAAAGACCCCGUGAACCUUUACUAUAGCUUGACACUGAACAUUGAGCCUUGAUGUGUAGGAUAGGUGGGAGGCUUUGAAGUGUG
rnacentral:rRNA from 1 species